AGCGAACGCUGGCGGCAGGCUUAACACAUGCAAGUCGAACGGGCGUAGCAAUACGUCAGUGGCAGACGGGUGAGUAACGCGUGGGAACGUACCUUUUGGUUCGGAACAACCCAGGGAAACUUGGGCUAAUACCGGAUAAGCCCUUACGGGGAAAGAUUUAUCGCCGAAAGAUCGGCCCGCGUCUGAUUAGCUAGUUGGUGAGGUAACGGCUCACCAAGGCGACGAUCAGUAGCUGGUCUGAGAGGANGAUCAGCCACAUUGGGACUGAGACACGGCCCAAACUCCUACGGGAGGCAGCAGUAAGGAAUAUUGGUCAAUGGACGCAAGUCUGAACCAGCCAUGCCGCGUGAAGGAUGAAGGCCCUCUGGGUUGUAAACUUCUUUUAUCUGGGAAGAAAUGCCUGUUUUCUAACGGGUUUGACGGUACCAGAGGAAUAAGCACCGGCUAACUCCGUGCCAGCAGCCGCCGUAAU
rnacentral:rRNA from 1 species